AGCUCAGUGGUAAGAGCAUGUGCUUAAUACGUACAAGGCCCUGGGCUCAAUCCCCAG
rnacentral:tRNA from 1 species